GAACGCCUAUCUGAGUGCUUUAUAUGUUAAGACUUAUAGAGCGCUUGUCAUGUUAAUCGUUCUAUAUAUUUAAUAUAAAAAAAUAGACUAUGGAUAUAGAUCGCUGACUUAGAUAACCGAUCUAUAAGAUUUAGUAUAAUAAAGAAAAUAAAUAAAAAUUCUUACCACAUGAAAUGAAAACCUAACCUACCCCUCAUUCCCUCAACCCGCACGCCGCUCUCCCCUCCUCUUUUUUUUUCUCUGUUCUCUUUCUCUUCUCAUCUCCAUUCCUCUCAUCUUCUCAAACUUAAAAUAAAAAUCUUCCCUAUGAAAUAAAAAUAAUUAGGAAAGUAAAUCUAUUUUUCGGUUUUAAAUCAAGAUCAACGAGUGGUCAUUUGUAUCAUUUCCCUCAAAUUUUCAAAAAUUAAAUUUGAUUGCAUUCAAUCUAGAUCUGAGAAUUGUAGAUCGAAGAAAUGUGGAGGGUUUGGAGCCGGAAAAUGAAUUCAAUUGAUUACAUUCAAAUCAGUUUCAAUGAACCGGUAAAGCUCCGCUGCAACACCGCCGUAGAUUGAACCUAAUAAGCCGUCGUCGUUUGAUUUGGGUGCGUUGUGAUGCGAUGUUGCUGUUAUGAAAUAGAUUGUUAAUUAUGUCUAAAUAUGCAUAAAGGUGCGGCUUCUCAAGAGGUUGGUGGAGGCUAUAUAUGCGGUGGUUGAGAUUCAUGAAAGCUGGUGGUGGUGUGGUUAGUGCGGAGAUUUCGACUUUCGAUGGCAAUUCAAUUCGGUGCACUUCCUAAGUCUUUGUCAGCGCAUUGAUAAUUAAUUAGUUGUGUUAGAAAACUUGUAAUGUAACUUUUUAUUCCAUAAGGAAUUUACUAUUAUAAUUCAAAUACUUGUA